CAAUUGCUUUUUGUUAGCCAUCUGUGAUGGAGAGUCCAGCUGUUCUUCAUGCCUUUCUUUGACUGAUAGCUAAGGUCGCCUUGUUCCUUGUAAGAGUUGCUUUUGAUUUUGGGGUUUCGUUUGCUUCUGAUUAACUUGGUUUGGUUUUGGGAGGCUUUUGGCUGGAUGAUGAGGUCUGGAAGGGAAUUGUUUUUGUCUAAGAAUGGCUGGUUCACUGAUAGCAUUGUCUGUGGUGUUGCUGUUAGAGCUUUGUUUGUUUUGUUGAGCUUAGAAGACCUGUUAAGGAAAAUUCUGUAGAUGUGACAUGAUUCAAAUGAAUCAGGCCUCAGGGGAGCAUAGUAGUAUAGUACUGUGGCAUCAUCACAAAUUCACAAUUCAUAUUUUUAUUUACUCGCAGUACUACAUUACUACGAGUACUAUGAUUUUAUCAAGUAUUUAGACUGACAUAUACGGAGUAUAUAAUAAUUGUACGUUUUUUUUUUUCUUUGAAUUGCAAUAGUUUGACGUAUGUAUGUAUUAUGUAUAAACGAAGUAUACACUGAAAUAAAGAAUGUAAAACCGUAUUAUGCAUUACUUUUUUUUUAAGUGUAAGAUAUGUAAUAUAUGAGUAUGUUAUUUAAU